GGUUCCGCGGGCGGCGGCUUACCAUGCAAGUCGAGCGGAGUGAUGGUGCUUGCACUAUCACUUAGCGGCGGACGGGUGAGUAAUGCUUAGGAAUCUGCCUAUUAGUGGGGGACAACAUUUCGAAAGGAAUGCUAAUACCGCAUACGUCCUACGGGAGAAAGCAGGGGAUCUUCGGACCUUGCGCUAAUAGAUGAGCCUAAGUCGGAUUAGCUAGUUGGUGGGGUAAAGGCCUACCAAGGCGACGAUCUGUAGCGGGUCUGAGAGGAAGAUCCGCCACACUGGGACUGAGACACGGCCCAGACUAAUACGGGAGGCAGCAGUGGGGAAUAUUGGACAAUGGGCGCAAGCCUGAUCCAGCCAUGCCGCGUGUGUGAAGAAGGCCUUAUGGUUGUAAAGCACUUUAAGCGAGGAGGAGGCUACUGAAGUUAAUACCUUCAGAUAGUGGACGUUACUCGCAGAAUAAGCACCGGCUAACUCUGUGCCAGCAGCCGCGGUAAUACAGAGGGUGCAAGCGUUAAUCGGAUUUACUGGGCGUAAAGCGCGCGUAGGCGGCUAAUUAAGUCAAAUGUGAAAUCCCCGAGCUUAACUUGGGAAUUGCAUUCGAUACUGGUUAGCUAGAGUGUGGGAGAGGAUGGUAGAAUUCCAGGUGUAGCGGUGAAAUGCGUAGAGAUCUGGAGGAAUACCGAUGGCGAAGGCAGCCAUCUGGCCUAACACUGACGUUGAGGUGCGAAAGCAUGGGGAGCAAACAGGAUUAGAUACCCUGGUAGUCCAUGCCGUAAACGAUGUCUACUAGCCGUUGGGGCCUUUGAGGCUUUAGUGGCGCAGCUAACGCGAUAAGUAGACCGCCUGGGGAGUACGGUCGCAAGACUAAAACUCAAAUGAAUUGACGGGGGCCCGCACAAGCGGUGGAGCAUGUGGUUUAAUUCGAUGCAACGCGAAGAACCUUACCUGGCCUUGACAUAGUAAGAACUUUCCAGAGAUGGAUUGGUGCCUUCGGGAACUUACAUACAGGUGCUGCAUGGCUGUCGUCAGCUCGUGUCGUGAGAUGUUGGGUUAAGUCCCGCAACGAGCGCAACCCUUUUCCUUAUUUGCCAGCGAGUAAUGUCGGGAACUUUAAGGAUACUGCCAGUGACAAACUGGAGGAUGGCGGGGACGACGUCAAGUCAUCAUGGCCCUUACGGCCAGGGCUACACACGUGCUACAAUGGUCGGUACAAAGGGUUGCUACCUAGCGAUAGGAUGCUAAUCUCAAAAUGCCGAUCGUAGUCCGGAUCGGAGUCUGCAACUCGACUCCAUGAAGUCGGAAUCGCUAGUAAUCGCGGAUCAGAAUGCCGCGGUCUAGCCCGUCC
rnacentral:rRNA from 1 species